rnacentral:rRNA from 1 species
GGGGAAUAUUGGGCAAUGGGGGAAACCCUGACCCAGCAACGCCGCGUGAAGGAAGAAGGUUUUCGGAUUGUAAACUUCUGUCCCAAGGGAAGAAAGAAAUGACGGUACCUUGGGAGGAAGCCCCGGCUAACUACGUGCCAGCAGCCGCGGUAAUACGUAGGGGGCAAGCGUUGUCCGGAAUUAUUGGGCGUAAAGGGUGCGUAGGCGGCCGAUCAAGUCAGGUGUGAAAGACCCGUGCUUAACAUGGGGGUUGCACUUGAAACUGGUUGGCUUGAGUAUGGGAGAGGCAAGCGGAAUUCCCGGUGUAGCGGUGAAAUGCGUAGAGAUCGGGAGGAACACCAGUGGCGAAGGCGGCUUGCUGGACCAAAACUGACGCUGAGGCACGAAAGCGUGGGUAGCAAACA